rnacentral:rRNA from 1 species
AGAGACAGCAGCCGCCGCGGUAAUACGUAGGGGGCAAGCGUUAUCCGGAUUUACUGGGUGUAAAGGGAGCGUAGACGGAAUGGCAAGUCUGAAGUGAAAUGCCCGGGCUCAACCCGGGAACUGCUUUGGAAACUGUCGAUCUGGAGUGUUGGAGAGGUAAGUGGAGUUCCUGGUGUAGCGGUGAAAUGCGUAGAGAUCAGGAAGAACACCGGAGGCGAAGGCGGCUUACUGGACAAAGACUGACGUUGAGGCUCGAAAGCGUGGGAAGCAAACGGGAUUAGAGACCCCUGUAGUCCCUGUCUCUUAUAA